AGAGUUUGAUCAUGGCUCAGAACGAACGUUGGCGGCGUGGAUUAGGCAUGCAAGUCGUGGGACGACUGGGGGCAACUCCAGUUGACCGGCGUAAGGGGUAGUUAUGCAUGGGUAACCAUCCCUCCAGAUGGGGAUAACAUCGAGAAAUCGAUGCUAAUACCCAGCGCCGUUGCGAUGGGGCAUCUUGUUGCAACGAAAGGUGUGAUUCCGCUGGAGGACGGGCUCAUGUGGUAUUAGCUAGUUGGUAGGGUAACGGCCUACCAAGGCUACGAUGCCUAGGGGGUGUUAGCGUACGACCCCCACCACUGGGACUGAGACACUGCCCAGACACCUACGGGUGGCUGCAGUCGAGAAUCUUCGGCAAUGAGCGCAAGCUUGACCGAGCGACGCCGCGUGGAGGAUGAAGGCCUUCGGGUUGUAAACUCCUGUCAGGGGGGAGGAAAGCUAGGCGGGCUCUUCCGUUUAGUUGACCUAGCCUCAGAGGAAGGACGGGCUAAAUUCGUGCCAGCAGCCGCGGUAAUACGAAUCGUCCAAACGUUGUUCGGAUUCACUGGGUUUAAAGGGCGCGUAGGCGGUGCGUUAAGUCGGCGGUGAAAUACUUCGGCUCAACCGGAGAAUUGCCGCUGAAACUAGCGUGCUCGAGGGAGGUAGAGGUGCGUGGAACUUCCGGUGGAGCGGUGGAAUGCGUUGAUAUUGGAAGGAACACCUGUGGCGAAAGCGAUGCACUGGGACCUCUUCUGACGCUGAGGCGCGAAAGCCAGGGGAGCGAACGGGAUUAGAUACCCCGGUAGUCCUGGCCAUAAACGAUGGGGACUAGAGAGUAGAUGCUCCGAUGUGUUUACUCUCGAAGCAAAAGUGCUAAGUCCCCCACCUGGGGAGUAUGGUCGCAAGACUGAAACUCAAAGGAAUUGACGGGGGCUCACACA
rnacentral:rRNA from 1 species